GGUGUGUGUGUUUACCUGUAGGUGGUAGGUGUGUGUGUUUACCUGUGGGUGGUAGGUGUGUGUGUUUACCUGUGGGUGGUAGGUGUGUGUUUACCUGUAGGUGGUAGGUGUGUGUGUUUACCUGUAGGUGGUAGGUGUGUGUGUUUACCUGUGGGUGGUAGGUGUGUGUUUACCUGUGGGUGGUAGGUGUGUGUUUACCUGUGGGUGGUAGGUGUGUGUUUACCUGUGGGUGGUAGGUGUGUGUUUACCUGUAGGUGGUAGGUGUGUGUUUACCUGUGGGUGGUAGGUGUGUGUGUUUACCUGUAGGUGGUAGGUGUGUGUGUUUACCUGUGGGUGGUAGGUGUGUGUGUUUACCUAUAGGUGGUAGGUGUGUGUGUUUACCUGUGGGUGGUAGGUGUGUGUGUUUA